AGUCUACAACAAGGAGAAAAAGGAGAACUAAAAGGAUGAAGUGAAGCAAACCAACAGGAUGGGUGUGUUUAACGCAUCAUCACACUGAGACAGCACUCUUCUUCCUACAUUUCACAGUUUUAAAACAUAAUCUGCAUUACCAUGAAGGACAACUUGGAAAGAAGGGGAGAAAAAUAGAUUAGGCUUCAGUCUCCAAACGAGAAGAUUGUUUCCUCACUGAUUUUAUAAGGGUCUGGCUGGAAUGCAGGAAUACCUGAACCAGGUGAGCUGUGUGCCAGAAGCAAAGCGGUCGUGUCAGUACAGUGUUGUAUUCUACAUUAUUUGCUGUCUAUCAUGCUGGGGUUACUGAGGACCAGAGUCUGGAGCACAUGAUUUACAAAGAGAGCCUAAGACAGCUGGAUUUGCUCAGCCUGAAGAGGGGGCUGAGGUGGAAGAUUAUUGCUGUUUUCAGACAUCUAAGAGAACCUGGAUGUGCAUAUCAAAGGGCUCAGGUGCAGCAAACAAAAUACGCAACAAGGGAAAUUCACCUUGGAUAUUGGGAAAGAAACACCCCAAGCACACCAUGGAACACAUUGCCCAGAGAGGCUGCAGUGUCUGUGCGAAGAUACCUGCAGGUGUUGUGGAGCAUCGUGACCACUUUAGAUAACAGGAGAUAGAUUGUUUGCAGAUGGUUCCUGCCCACAUAUCAAGACCACUCCACAAAACCACUCCAAAGAUAAGAACCAGUAACAGCUAGCUUUUUGGGGCUGUAGUCAGCAAAGCAUCUCACAAAGGAACUUUCCAUCCCUAAUAAGGUAAAAAAGAUCAGAGAGUUCAACUAAAGGACACACCAAGAUGACCAGCAGAGGUCCCAGGACCACCGCCACAAUGAGACCAGUUAAGUGCAAGGAGGCAGAACCCUAUGUUAGUGAUUUCAGAUUUAGUGAAUAUGUAUGCACUGUCUGGGAAAAUAUUUACAUAUGUAGCAUAAGCAAUAUAGGUAAGCUGAAGUUCUUUCAUGCCAGAUAUGCAUGUUUAGGUGGAGCUGCCCCCUGUGCACCCGGUGCCACAGUAAAAGAAUGACUGCUUCUCAAUAUCACAUUGGUCUUAAGGAGUUACCUUUCAGGCUGGUGUUUUUAUCUGGUAACACAGCCAUCUUUUACAACCUAAACUGUGCUGUGAUUCUAUAGUUGUGAUGACACAGUUUUCUGGACCCUAGGACCAAGCUAAUCACCUGAUUUAUUUUUGCAAAACUCCGGCUUGUGCCCUCCAAACUGUAGAGUGAUUCCCAAGAUACCGAAUUUAAAACCAUACUGAUGUGGUAAUAUACAAAGAGACCUCUUUGUCAUGAUUGGAUGUAGACUUACCAACCCAACCCCUAAGCUGGGAACCUGGAAAAGGAGUCUGUCUCCACUUAUUUGGACAACGGUUAUUCUUGGUCCAAAACAUGACCCUAAGGAUGUAUCCAAGGCACAAGGGACAUUCAGCAAGGGUGCUCUGAAAAGCUUCUCAUCUGUCAGUGGAACCCUCUCCCUGCUCUUCAGAUGAUCCUGAGUGGGAAGGCAGAUGGAAAGGGAACCUCUGGAAAGGCAAUGGAUGUGACUCUGAGGAGCUAAAGGAGGAACAGAGCAUAGUGGAGGCAGUUCAGUGGAGAGUGACUGAGAGCUUCAGAUACCAUUUGUUAAACAUUUUCUACAAAUGCUAAAACUAUUUUCCUUUAGGGCUGUUGGUGCAUAUGUGAAAAAUUAUGCCGUGGUUAAUUACAAACAUAAGUGUUCUCACCAAAUACAACUGGCUUUCAAGGGGGAAGGGAAGAGAGAGGAAGGGAACAAAAGGGAAACUGUAAGUCCCUAAAAUUAUCCAUAAGUUAUGGAAUGUUAGAUGCCCUUCCAACAGCAGCCUGUGGAGAGAACAUAUAAAUCUGUGCAGGACCCAUCUAGCUAUGUCAAAGUAGAACUGAUCUUUUAGAUAAUCUUUCAAAUAUAUGUAUGUAUCGCUGCAAGGCCUGUAUGAAUAGAAUUUACUUUAAAGAACGUAAAUAUUAAUGAAAAUUUCAGGUUAUUCUUAUUUAUUUAAACUUAUAAAGUUAUGUAUCCCUGAGUCUGAUUCUGAGGAAUGUAAUUAAAGUUACUGGCAUGUAGUUGCAAUCUAAUCCCAAAGUAGAUGUGGAGAGACACCCACUAAUGCAAAACUACUGCAAAUAAGAUCAGAAAAAAACACCAGUAGCUCUUGAGUUGUAACAUCUGAAAUCUAACUAAAAAAAUCUGUAAUCACUAGCUAACUUGAACAGCAAUGACAUCCAAAAUCAUCAGUGAGAUUUGGAUGAGACCUCCAGAGCUUAUCUCUGUGUGACAAAACCUCCAGUUGCCUGAGAGCUUUCAGUGAAGAAUGGCAUUCAAAAUUACCCUCAUUUCUUGCAAAGCUUGAAAGGGAUUAUGAAGGACAAUUGUUGUGGGGUGGGAGUUGGCCUGAUUCGUUCUAAUGAACACCAGGAGAAGUUCACAAGAAACAGAAAGACCAUUGGAUUUUUAUUUUAUUUUUAUUUUAUUUUAUUUUAUUUUUUAAAGGACAGAUAAAGAAAACAAAUAGUGGCCUUGCACAGUUUCUAGGAAACAGAGAUGACUGUUAUUAUGGCAAUUAAAAGUUAGCCCAGGGCAAUUAGAGGACCCUAAAAUGUUUAACUGGGGGAUUGCCACUUCAGAAUGUGCAGUUAAUCCGUGACCUCCUUCAACUGUGUGUUAUUUAACAUCUGUGUUCCACACACUACAAACAAAGAUUACAGGCCACAGCCAAACUAAGUACUCAGCAAGGUAUUUGCUGAUUUAAUGAAUGCUAGGUGGCAGUUUUCUUCUUUGUGCUACAUUCUCUUUAUACUCUUUUUUUUUUUUUUUUUUUGGACAAAUCCUUUGCAUUUUUUUUUUUCUGGGAAGUGAGGAAACAACAAGUCUUUCACUGCACAGUCAAUGAAUAGACCUUUCUUCAUCAAAUUAAAAAUGUGCAGGAUGUAAAGCACAUCCAGACACGUCCAACAGAUGUUCCUCUGUUGUCCUCUUGCUGCAGCAGGGCAAUACUUAAUAACUAACUUUAAAAAAUGGAGGAGGGGGAGAUUGAUACUGGAGAUCCUCAGUCAUGGGACAGGGGGUAAAAACCAGGAGAAAACUUGUGUAAACAGUAAGACUAAAUGACUCGAUUAGCCUUUCUUUUGGUUUUGUAUACAAUCAUAGGCACUGCAGAGAGGGAACGAGAACUACACUUCUUCACAGAAGAGCAAUCUGUAACAAGAAAUAGGUGGAGGAAUAGUUUUCCCUGGUCCACACAGAAAUAGACUUGGAAAUGAUUAUGAAAAACACCUCUAAUAAUGGAAACCAUGGAAAGGUGAAAGGAGGGAACCUCCCAAGAGAUUUUAACUUAUAACAGAUGUUGCAUUUUAGCAACUAGCAAUGGAUAGAAGAGAAACAAACAAGGCAAGCAGCCUAGGGCUAGUCAGUGACCAUUGUACUCUGUCCUGCAAGGAUAAAAUUCUUAGCCUCAGCUCAAGUCAUGAAUUUGUCAGCUGAAGGCAUUGCUGUUCUGAGAAUACACAGCUUCUAGCUCUGUAGCCCCAUUCUUUUCCACGGCCUUUGCAAGCUAUGGCCAGAUCUCAAACAUGAGGUACUAGAAGAGCUCUGCUCAUGGCAGCACAGCUCCACCAGGGGCUGAACACAUCCCUGGUUUGAAAGCCCAGUGAACAGAAACAGAAAAAGUCUCCCGUGCAACAGACAGGGACGGGAGCCCGUGUCAGACUGUACAACAGUGACCUUGUUUCACCGCACCAUGAGCUGCACGUUCUGAUACUUCUGCAAAACAACUGUGGUGAUGAAAUGCACUACCACUGACACACCGCAGGUCUCCGCAGCAAUAGGUGUCUGCUGAUGUACUCAGAAAGCUGUAUGGUAACACCUGGCCUUGUGCUGUAUGUUGCCGAGCAACAACACGGCCGUGGGGUUACAAACUCUGGCUGACAGAGUUUUAUGGAUAAAAAUCCAUGGGGAGCACAGCCUGUGGUUUCAGUGUUUUUACACACUGUUACUAGUUGUCUGUUUUUUUGGGGGGGAAGAGAGGAAUGAUGAACCUCGAUGUUAAUAGAAAAAAGUUCUGAAUUCCUGUAAAAGAGGACUUUGCAGACCACUCUGCACAAGGACAAGCUCGCUGAGGGGUGCACUGCUUCUUUCAGAACUGAGCAAGAGCUGCAAUCUUCUGUACGUGCUGCACAGAGGAUUUUUUUUUUUUUUUUUUUUUGAAUGCUUAAAUCUUAACAGCUGGUAGAUGGUGUGGUUUACACUUUCCCACAAACAGAGUUAAUCUCUCUGAGCCUUAGACAUGUUCAGCUUAAAGGUACGUUUGAGCUUUUCUCCAAGAUUGCUGCUAUGCGCUGGGAGAGAACCGCGUAUCUCCAAAGAGAGGCAGUCUCCUGUUUUCAGAUAUCCAAGGGCAAGAGAAUGGAUGUAGGGCAGACAUAAAUUUCGGUUUUCAAAGUGGUACGAGGGGAGCUUGCUGCUCCCUUCAUACAAAUCAAAAGUGACGCUGAAAUUCUACAAAAUCUGUAAUACAACCCAAAGAUAUUAUGCUUCUUUACAAAUUGUGUUUGAUAAACAAAAGCGUGUACUAGGCCAAACAGUUACACAUCUCAUCAAGAUCGUCCCAGAUCCAAAAUCACAAAGUUCUUCUUUUAUGAAGAGUUUUCUUUAAUAAGGUUGUGUCUUUAUGCAUUCUGAACGCCUGCAUGCUGCAGCUACAGCCUGUUGGCUCAUCUGGUGAUGCAGUGCUUUCAGAGACCUGGAGGUGACAUCAGUCAGAAAAUCACAGUCCAAGUAAGGUUCAUCUUCACGGCCAGCUACCAGAGUUCUUUGAAGGGGAGGUUUAGGUUGGAUAUUAGGUUGGAUAUUAGGAAGAAGUUUUUCACACAGAGGGUGGUGACGCACUGGAACAGGUUGCCCAGAGAGGUUGUGGACGCCCCAUCCCUGGA